rnacentral:rRNA from 1 species
GAUGAACGCUGGCGGCGUGCCUAAUACAUGCAAGUCGAACGAAACUUCUUUAUCACCGAGUGCUUGCACUCACCGAUAAAGAGUUGAUUGGCGAACGGGUGAGUAACACGUGGGCAACCUGCCCAAAAGAGGGGGAUAACACUUGGAAACAGGUGCUAAUACCGCAUAACCAUAGUUACCUCAUGGUAACUAUUUAUAAGGUAGCUAUACUCCCGCUUUUGGAUGGGCCCGCGGCGCAUUAGCUAGUUGGUAGGGUAAAGGCUUACCAAGGCAAUGAUGCGUAGCCGAAUUGAGAGGUUGAUCGGACAAAUUGGGACUGAGACACGGCCCAAACUCCUACGGGAGGCAGCAGUAGGGAAUCUUCCACAAUGGGCGAAAGCCUGAUGGAGCAACGACGCGUGGGUGAAGAAGGUCUUCGGAUCGUAAAACCCUGUUGUUAGAGAAGAAAGUGCGUGAGAGUAACUGUUCACGUUUCGACGGUAUCUAACCAGAAAGCCACGGCUAACUACGUG